CCUCUAAAAGCACUCUGUGUGGGGAAGCUGAGAGCCAGAGCCACGCUCAGAGGACCCCUGAAGGAAUGACACAUAAACAUCAACCAGAACCAGAACCCAGCUGUGUGUCCUUUAAGAGCGACAGGUCAAUGGGUGCUGGCAUUGACUUCAACUCUUCAGGACCUGCAUCCUCAGAGAGAGUGGACCAGCAGAACUCAGAGGUUCCCAGAGGUCCGU